rnacentral:lncRNA from 1 species
AUGAUCGCGGCUCCCACGUCCUUGGAAGGUCUUCGGUCCUUCACCAAAAAGUUAAUCAUGCUCUCCGACUUGAUGAGCAAAUUGCAGCCCAAAAAGAAGAUGCCAAACACCACAGUCAAGGAGAGGACGCAGAGGACGGCGAUCUGCACCACGCGUGUGAUGUACAGGCUACGCUCAUCGGGCACCAGCACCGAGGAGCUGCCAUCGGGUGCCAGCACCGAGCUGGUCCCAUUGCAGCAGGCCAGGAGGCUCUGGUUGAAGAAGGAUCCAUUCAUGGUCUACGUGGGGUCCCAACCGUCGGAGGAAGGCAGGAUGGAGCUGGCGGUCCCCCAGCUGGUCUCACAUCCCGCAGGCUCCGUGCCACCUCCUGCCUGUCUGCUCCUGAUGCCUGGGCUGGAAGGGAAGGAAAGGUGUGCAGAGAGGGGCGGCGGGCUGCCAGCUGCCACCAGCAACUCAGCACAGUCACCCGAGCACGGAGAGGGAAGGAGAAGGGAGCACGGGGCAGAGGAAGGCAGUAGGAGGCGGUUGCAUGCUCCCUGCCAUGCUGCCACCCCGAAGCAAUGGGGACUCCCAGCAGGAGCCGGGGGCUGAUGCCUGCCGGCUGGGAGCUCCACGGAUGCAAGUUCCCAGCUCAAGUCUUCCCCGUGUUCAAAGAAAAACCAGCAACUCCACCCCCUUGCAGCCUCCCCCCAGGACCGCCUUCCUCCCCCCUCCAAGCUCACCCAGGCUGCCCACCCCUUCCCCAUGCUGCUGCAUCCCCUCAUCCUGCUAUGGGGGCCCAAACCCACACCUGUGCUACCCCCUGGCUGUGUGCUAACCCCUGAGGUCCUGCCAUACUGCAUCCUCUCCCCCAGCCCUCCACCUGCUUCCCAGAGCAGCCCACCAUGUCGGUGUUGGGCCUGGGUCACCAGCAGCUCCCCUGUUCCCCCCCACACACCCUCCUGUGAGCUUCAGGUCUGUGCUGCUCUCACCGAUCCCUGCUUGCUGCUCUGUGCCACCCACUCCUUCCUUAGAGCAGCGCUGGCCCAAUCCAGCCCCGUCCACCCCCAGCUCUGCUCUGUUCUUCUGUCCUACACUGACAACUGGAUCAUCAUCCUCUGGCUGGGGGAUGUUUACACCCAGGCACCUCCAUUUCCCCUUCUCAUGCUCCUUUAUCCCCAUCAGAAGGAAGCACAGUGAUGCUGCACCCCGAUCUCUGCAUCCCACCCCCAUUCCCAGCUCAGGGUCCUACAGCAGCAGCAGCUGUGGUCCAUGCACCGUGAGUGGGUGCAGAUGUGUUCGGGUGGUGCAGGACAAGAGAUGGCCAUGACAUGGAGACUGUGCUCUGAUUGAUCUGUGUACGUCUCAGCUCGCUUUGCUUGCACAGCCCCCAGAGGGGAUUUUAAUAAACCCAAAUGAGAAUUGAUAAAUUGCA